rnacentral:rRNA from 1 species
GUAAGGAAUAUUGGUCAAUGGAGGCAACUCUGAACCAGCCAUGCCGCGUGCAGGAAGACGGCCCUCUGGGUUGUAAACUGCUUUUAUCUGGGAAUAAACCUGCUUACGUGUAAGUAGCUGAAUGUACCAGAAGAAUAAGGAUCGGCUAACUCCGUGCCAGCAGCCGCGGUAAUACGGAGGAUCCAAGCGUUAUCCGGAUUUAUUGGGUUUAAAGGGUGCGUAGGCGGCCUGUUAAGUCAGGGGUGAAAGACGGUGGCUCAACCAUCGCAGUGCCCUUGAUACUGAUGGGCUUGAAUGGACUAGAGGUAGGCGGAAUGAGACAAGUAGCGGUGAAAUGCAUAGAUACGUCUCAGAACACCGAUUGCGAAGGCAGCUUACUAUGGUCUUAUUGACGCUGAGGCACGAAAGCGUGGGGAUCGAACAGGAUUAGAAACCCCAGUAGUCC